rnacentral:lncRNA from 1 species
AUGUUUCUGUCAGUGGCAAAAAAUCAAUUUUUUCUCCACAUUCUGCUUUCACUUUCUGUUCCAGCAGUUCGGUGGCCUGGUUAUAUAAACGCACCGCCAAUAUCUAGGCCCUUCACGAAAGGAGGACGACAUGAAAGGUUUUGGCGUGGCCGUGAGAGAGCUCAGUGCAUGCUGGGAGACCUGUGGCGUCUCAGAACUCACCACACGCACGCAGCGCCGCAGCCGCUGCAUGAGACCAACCAGGUCCACGAACACGCCCUGGCGAUCGCUGAUGUGGUCCUGCUCGGACAGAUUGAGCUUCAGCGAGAACACCGCCUGGUAGAAAUCGCAGAUUUUCAGGAGAACACAUCCGUGCAGACGUUCCUGUUGGUGGGAAAGAAUGAUGGAGGUUGGCACAGCCUGGAAAAGCUGAAGAGGGCGAGAAGAGGGCAAGAAAAGCUACUCACAAUGCCCUUGGCGGCGCUGACGGCCCGCGCGUGCAGAGCGUCGGUGUCCAGGCAGGGCGCCUCCGGGACGCAGCUGGCCGUGUGGACGCUCCCCGACAUCUCCCCACACGCCAUGGCUGCGAGGAGGAGCAGGAUCAGAAUUCCCGGCAUGCCGACACGCUUUCUUUAAUUCUGUCUAGCAGGCAGCCACACCAACACACCUAUUUAUGUGUCCUGAAGUUCCUCGAGUGACGUCAGAGCCUCUCGCUCAAUUGGUUUUUCCAGCCAAGCAGACAUGUACCACCUGGAAAAAAAAGAACCCCUACACAUUUGGACAUUUUUUGAAGCUGAUAUCCAUUUUUACGUUGCUACAAGACCCCUUUAUCAAGGGUUAUGUUGCUUUAUGAAAAAUAGAAUUUGUACGCUCUCCUCAAAGACAGCUAAUGAGGUCAUGACAUUUUAGGGUCUUGGUUCCUGCGUCCUACAUUCUAACCACGUCCUAGAUUUCGCGUAGAUAAAGCCCCACUUCACUGUAAUGACAAAUAAAGGUUCUACGCACAAUUUAUUCUUCA